CUGCUCACUUCAGCAGCACAUAUACUAAAAUUGGAACGAUACAGAGAAGAUUAACCUGGCCCCUGCACAAUGAUGACAUGCAAAUUUGUGAAAUGUUCCAUAUUUUU